rnacentral:rRNA from 1 species
UACGUAGGGGGCAAGCGUGUCCGGAAUCAUUGGGCGUAAAGAGCGUGUAGGUGGCUCGGUAAGUCCGCUGUGAAAGUCCAGGCUCAACCCUGGAAAGCCGGUGGAAACUGUCGAGCUCGAGUCCGGAAGAGGCGAGUGGAAUUCCUGGUGUAGCGGUGAAAUGCGCAGAUAUCAGGAGGAACACCAAUGCGAAGGCAGCUCGCUGGGACGGUACUGACACUGAGACGCGAAAGCGUGGGGAGCAAACAGG